rnacentral:rRNA from 1 species
UACGAAGGGGGCUAGCGUUGUUCGGAUUUACUGGGCGUAAAGCGCACGUAGGCGGAUCGUUAAGUCGGGGGUGAAAUCCUGGAGCUCAACUCCAGAACUGCCUUCGAUACUGGCGAUCUUGAGUUCGGGAGAGGUGAGUGGAACUGCGAGUGUAGAGGUGAAAUUCGUAGAUAUUCGCAAGAACACCAGUGGCGAAGGCGGCUCACUGGCCCGAUACUGACGCUGAGGCACGAAAGCGUGGGGAGCAAACAGG